CACGAACCGUACGAACGUUAUUCGGAAUUACUGGGCUUAAAGGGUUUGUAGGCGGCCAUGUAAGUCAGGUGUGAAAUCCCUCGGCUCAACCGAGGAACGCGCUUGAUACUGCAUGGCUUGAGGGAGACAGGGGUAAGCGGAACUGAUGGUGGAGCGGUGAAAUGCGUUGAUAUCAUCAGGAACACCGGUGGCGAAAGCGGCUUACUGGGUCUCUUCUGACGCUGAGGAACGAAAGCUAGGGUAGCGAAACGGGG
rnacentral:rRNA from 1 species